rnacentral:rRNA from 1 species
UCAGGUAGAGAAUACCAAGGCGCUUGAGAGAACUCGGGUGAAGGAACUAGGCAAAAUGGUGCCGUAACUUCGGGAGAAGGCACGCUGACACGUAGGUGAAGUGAUUUACUCAUGGAGCUGAAGUCAGUCGAAGAUACCAGCUGGCUGCAACUGUUUAUUAAAAACACAGCACUGUGCAAACACGAAAGUGGACGUAUACGGUGUGACGCCUGCCCGGUGCCGGAAGGUUAAUUGAUGGGGUCAGCGCAAGCGAAGCUCCUGAUCGAAGCCCCGGUAAACGGCGGCCGUAACUAUAACGGUCCUAAGGUAGCGAAAUUCCUUGUCGGGUAAGUUCCGACCUGCACGAAUGGCGUAAUGAUGGCCAGGCUGUCUCCACCCGAGACUCAGUGAAAUUGAACUCGCUGUGAAGAUGCAGUGUACCCGCGGCAAGACGGAAAGACCCCGUGAACCUUUACUAUAGCUUGACACUGAACAUUGAGCCUUGAUGUGUAGGAUAGGUGGGAGGCUUUGAAGUGUGGACGCCAGUCUGCAUGGAGCCGACCUUGAAAUACCACCCUUUAAUGUUUGAUGUUCUAACGUGGACCCGUAAUCCGGGUUGCGGACAGUGUCUGGUGGGUAGUUUGACUGGGGCGGUCUCCUCCUAAAGAGUAACGGAGGAGCACGAAGGUUGGCUAAUCCUGGUCGGACAUCAGGAGGUUAGUGCAAUGGCAUAAGCCAGCUUGACUGCGAGCGUGACGGCGCGAGCAGGUGCGAAAGCAGGUCAUAGUGAUCCGGUGGUUCUGAAUGGAAGGGCCAUCGCUCAACGGAUAAAAGGUACUCCGGGGAUAACAGGCUGAUACCGCCCAAGAGUUCAUAUCGACGGCGGUGUUUGGCACCUCGAUGUCGGCUCAUCACAUCCUGGGGCUGAAGUAGGUCCCAAGGGUAUGGCUGUUCGCCAUUUAAAGUGGUACGCGAGCUGGGUUUAGAACGUCGUGAGACAGUUCGGUCCCUAUCUGCCGUGGGCGCUGGAGAACUGAGGGGGGCUGCUCCUAGUACGAGAGGACCGGAGUGGACGCAUCACUGGUGUUCGGGUUGUCAUGCCAAUGGCACUGCCCGGUAGCUAAAUGCGGAAGAGAUAAGUGCUGAAAGCAUCUAAGCACGAAACUUGCCCCGAGAUGAGUUCUCCCUGAGACUUUAAGUCUCCUGAAGGAACGUUGAAGACGACGACGUUGAUAGGCCGGGUGUGUAAGCGCAGCGAUGCGUUGAGCUAACCGGUACUAAUGAACCGUGAGGCUUAACCUUACAACGCCGAAG